rnacentral:lncRNA from 1 species
UUUGAUUUUCUGAAUUUUUAUUUUAAUUACAUUAUUUUCAAAAAAAUGGGACUUUCACCAAAAAAUUUCAAAUAUUUUUCUCUUUCAUAUUUUGAAUUAAAAUUAUUUUUUGGAUCAUUAUUAAUAUUUUUAAUUAAUUAAUUGAUUUUGAAUUUGUUUUUAAUUGUUUAAAAAUAUUUUAGAAUGUCCAAAAAUUAUGAAAUUUUUUCUCCAAGGUCCUUUGACCUUG